CCCAAGUGUCAUGCCUUCAGUACGGCGAGUGAGCGGCAAAAGCUCAAAUUUGAAAUCUGGCACCUUCGGUGUCCGAGUUGUAAUUUGAAGAAGGUAACUUUGGAGUUGGCUCUUGUCUAUGUUCCUUGGAACAGGACGUCACAGAGGGUGAGAAUCCCGUGCGAUGAGAUGCCCAAUUCUAUGUAAAGUGCUUUCGAAGAGUCGAGUUGUUUGGGAAUGCAGCUCUAAGUGGGUGGUAAAUUCCAUCUAAAGCUAAAUAUUGGCGAGAGACCGAUAGCGAACAAGUACAGUGAUGGAAAGAUGAAAAGAACUUUGAAAAGAGAGUGAAAAAGUACGUGAAAUUGUUGAAAGGGAAGGGCUUGAGAUCAGACUUGGUAUUUUGCGAUCCUUUCCUUCUUGGUUGGGUUCCUCGCAGCUUACUGGGCCAGCAUCGGUUUGGAUGGUAGGAUAAUGACUAAGGAAUGUGGCUCUACUUCGGUGGAGUGUUAUAGCCUUGGUUGAUACUGCCUGUCUAGACCGAGGACUGCGUCUUUUGACUAGGAUGUUGGCAUAAUGAUCUUAAGCCACCCGUCUUGAAACACGGACCAAANA
rnacentral:rRNA from 1 species